rnacentral:tRNA from 2 species
AGUGGGGUGGCUGAGAUUAAUAAGUAGGCGAUAGGCUGUAAAUCUAUUCAGGAGUGGUUACGUCGCUCUUCCACUA